GAUUAACGCUGGCGGCAUGCCUAAUACAUGCAAAUCGAACGAAGCCUUUUGGCUUAGUGGUGAACGGGUGAGUAACACGUAUCCAAUCUACCCUUAAGUUUGGGAUAACUAGUCGAAAGAUUAGCUAAUACCGGAUAAUAACAUUCACUUGCAUGAGUGAAUGUGGAAAGUUGCGUUUGCAACGCUUUUGGAUGAGGGUGCGACGUAUCAGAUAGUUGGUAAGGUAGCGGCUUACCAAGGCGAUGAUAGGUAGCCGGCCUGAGAGGGUGGACGGCCACAAGGGGACUGAGAUACGGCCCUU
rnacentral:rRNA from 1 species